UGAAACUGCAAUUAGAGGGCAGUGCCCAUCUGCUUUCAGCAGGCACGUGGCUCUUAGCAGAUCCCUGGGAGGCUGCAGGGGCCGCCCAUCACCUUCACGUGUGUUCCUUAACAACGUGCGCACAGUCUCUCAAGGGGGAGCUCCAGAUGGUGAAGGAAACUCUCCAGGCCAUGGCCCUGCAGCUCCAGCCAGCAAAGGAGGCGGGGGAGAGGGAGGCUGCAGCUUCCUGUGUGACAGCUGGCGUCCGGGAAGCACAGUCCUGAGGCCUGACAGGACGGAGGGAGUAGUGACGCUCCCGUCUUCAUUCGGAUCCAUGGACAGUAGACAAUCUUUGUCAUUUCCUGAAGUCUCACUGCCAUUCCCAAAGGCAGCUGGUGCUUUGCUCAGCCUUCCGUGCUGUGCAGUGCUUCCGUCAGGAGAUGGCCCUGUUUAAGCCAGCAGGUGGCCACAGCCCAGGGAACCAGCAAAAGCACAACACAUGAAUUUUCUGAUUGUAUUUUCUACAAUUUUCUGCAGGCAAAUCACAGCUGGGCAAUUUCUGCCGUUAAAAUGAACAGCUUCAGCUCGGCAGCGGCAUUCUACUCCUCUCCUCACCGAUGCUGCCUUCUUGUGGGUCUGUGCGCUGCCUCUUGAAGGUCCG
ensembl:lncRNA